UGUGUCCCUGGGCCAAUCGAAAAAAAACGCAUUUUCUGCAGGUGCAGAUGCCGGUUAUGGCUAAAUGAAAGAAAAAAGGAAAAAAAGAAACAGAGUGAUUUUAAUCCCCCAUCAAGAGCAAGUCGAGUGAAGGGCGUCGGAUCUGCGUAAUGCGUGCAGCAGCGAGGCGUGGUCUGCCGUUCUGCAAUGUUAGGUGCGUUCUAGAGUAGGCGAACAUCACGCAAACACAUGGACUGCGUUGCCUACUAAGACCAGCGGUGCUUCCUAAGCGGCUGAAGCGAUGUGCUUUACAAACAAGCCCCAAAGACGCUGAUGAUGGCUACCAACUCGAACGGCGGUUGGAUCACAUUACACGAUUAGCUGCGAUUAUGGCCGAAUCAUCGCUUUCCUCUCGAUCGAAUCCAUCGCCUCGAUUGGCAGACAGUCAAUCGGCCCGGUUAACGAGAUCUACUUUUGGCCAGCCGGUGUGUGCGCGCCCAGCAGGGAUGAUUGUUUGAGCGAAGUAAAGACGCUUCAGAAGGAAUUUGUGACGCUAGAUUGGAUGUUUGAUUACAGUUUUCAUUUUGUAGACACAUUUAGCAAGAAGGUAUGAACUCAUAGAAUUAGACCAGAUGGUAUUGGUGAAAACAUACUACUGUAAAUUCUUUAAUUUCCGGUUUAAACUCCAGAUGGAUAUCCUUAGGUAAAAGCCUACAUUCCAAUGAAUCCUUGGAUUUCUGCGCCAAAAGCCAUAGGCUUCCCAAUCUUUGGAUCAUAAGUACCUUGCGGGAUUGACCUGAUUAUUAGGCUAAGAGACGAAGACUCUGUCCACAGCAAUUGAUCCUCGUGCACAACUCUGCGACUCUUUCAGAGGGCUAAUCCAUUGUCUAACCUACCUUCGAAGCACGAUUGGAGGUAACGUAUUCUACGCCAAUUGAAUGAACUGAUGAGUGUAGUGUUGUCUUUUUUGGUAUA